CUAGAGUUUAAAAUUAGUGAAAGGCGUUCAAGAACAAUUGAUUGGCACAAGUGCUUAGGAAUACAGAGCAUGGUGUCAAGGAAGCAUCUCGGCGUUCAGACACGUCCUGCACAUUCUUCCUGGGUGUUUGGUUUUCAAAGCAGUCUCAUUACCCGAAGAACUCACCUUCACCACAGGGGCUACUGUUUUCUCCUUAGACAAAUGCCCAAGGGAUACUUGAAAUUUGGCAAAGGGACAUGGAUGAAUCAUUCUCAGCAAACUGACACAAGGGACAUGGAAACCAUCAUUCUCAGCAAACUGACACAAGAACAGAAAACCAAACACUGCAUGUUAUCACUCAUAGGUGGGUGUUGAACAAUUAGAACAUGUGGACACAGGGAGGGUAGCAUCGCACACUGGGGUCUGUUGGGGAGGGGUAGGGGAG
rnacentral:lncRNA from 1 species